CCUACGGGAGGCAGCAGUGAGGAAUAUUGGUCAAUGGACGAGAGUCUGAACCAGCCAAGUAGCGUGAAGGAUGACUGCCCUAUGGGUUGUAAACUUCUUUUAUAAAGGAAUAAAACGAGGCACGUGUGCCUUUUUGCAUGUACUUUAUGAAUAAGGAUCGGCUAACUCCGUGCCAGCAGCCGCGGUAAUACGGAGGAUCCGAGCGUUAUACGGAUUUCUUGGGUUUAAAGGGAGCGUAGAUGGGUUGUUAAGUCAGUUGUGAAAGUUUGCGGCUCAACCGUAAAAUUGCAAUUGAGACUGGCAGUCUUGAGUACAGUUGAGGUAGGCGGAAUUCGUGGUGUAGCGGUGAAAUGCUUAGAUAUCACGAAGAACCCCGAUUGCGAAGGCAGCUUACUAAACUGUGACUGACAUUGAUGCUCGAAAGUGUGGGUAUCAAACAGGAUUAGAUACCCCAGUAGUC
rnacentral:rRNA from 1 species